CAAUAGCGUAUAUUUAAGUUGUUGCAGUUAAAAAGCUCGUAGUUGGAUUUCGGGUAGGAUUUGCCGGUCCGUCUUUGAGAUGUGUACUGGUAAAUCCUAUCUUCUUGUCGGGGACCAGCUCCUGGGCUUCACUGUCCGGGACUGGGAGCCGACGAAGUUACUUUGAGUAAAUUAGAGUGUUCAAAGCAAGCCUACGCUCUGAAUAUAUUAGCAUGGAAUAACACGAUAGGACUCUGGCUUAUCUUGUUGGUCUGUGAGACCAUAGUAAUGAUUAAGAGGGACAGUCGGGGGCAUUCGUAUUUCAUUGUCAGAGGUGAAAUUCUUGGAUUUGUUAAAGACGGACUACAGCGAAAGCAUCUGCCAUGGAUGUUUUCAUUGA
rnacentral:rRNA from 1 species